CCUACGGGGGGCAGCAGUGGGGAAUAUUGCACAAUGGGGGAAACCCUGAUGCAGCGACGCCGCGUGAGCGAUGAAGUAUUUCGGUAUGUAAAGCUCUAUCAGCAGGGAAGAAAAUGACGGUACCUGACUAAGAAGCCCCGGCUAACUACGUGCCAGCAGCCGCGGUAAUACGUAGGGGGCAAGCGGUAUACGGAUUUACUGGGUGUAAAGGGAGCGUAGGCGGCGGUGCAAGCCAGAUGUGAAAGCCUGGGGCUCAACCCCGGGACUGCAUUUGGAACUGUGCGGCUAGAGUGUCGGAGAGGCAGGCGGAAUUCCUAGGGUAGCGGUGGAAUGCGUAGAUAUUAGGAGGAACACCAGUGGCGAAGGCGGCCUGCUGGACGAUGACGGACGUUGAGGCUCGAAAGCAUGGGGAGCGAACAGGAUUAGAUACCCCUGUAGUC
rnacentral:rRNA from 1 species